rnacentral:rRNA from 1 species
UACGUAGGUGGCGAGCGUUGUCCGGAUUUACUGGGCGUAAAGGGAGCGUAGGCGGACUUUUAAGUGAGAUGUGAAAUACCCGGGCUCAACUUGGGUGCUGCAUUUCAAACUGGAAGUCUAGAGUGCAGGAGAGGAGAAUGGAAUUCCUAGUGUAGCGGUGAAAUGCGUAGAGAUUAGGAAGAAUACCAGUGGCGAAGGCGAUUCUCUGGACUGUAACUGACGCUGAGGCUCGAAAGCGUGGGGAGCAAACAGGAUUAGAUACCCCCGUAGU